CUGAAGUAGCAUAAAAGAAAGUGACAAUAAGCAACAAGUGCAUAAGUGCAGAUGGCUUUCCCAUUGAGAAAACAAGGUAAGGUAUGACAAUUAUGAUAGGGGAAUGAAUACCUCAAAGCCUGAGUUUCAAUAUUACAUUUACUCUUAUUUAUAAUAGAAAUACCCACCUACCUUGGAAUCUUCAAAUUAAUUAUACCACUGUUUGUUUUUGAGAUAUUUUUUAGUGAACAAAUGUAUUUCUUAACUUAAGACUUUUCUUCUUCUCUAUUGUAUGCCAUCUAAUAACCAACUCAUAAAUAAACCCUACUUAAGUUCAUUUGUGAGCUGAGUUUUUUUUAAAUGAAAGAGAAAAUUUGAAAGUUAUGAAAUACACUUAUGAGAUAGAUCUGAAGUCCUCUCUUGCCUUUGUUUUCCUCAAAAACUCAACUCGCAAACACACCCUAAAGUUAUGUUUGCAAGUUAGAUUUUGGAGGGGAGAGAAGAGAAAUAGAAAGCUUUAGAAUCAUUUCAUAAUUGUAUUUUAUGAUUUACAAACCUUCGCUUUCCCUUCUUUCCCUUACAAAACUCAAAUCGCAGAUGAAAUCUAAAGGUUUGUUUGCGAAUUGAGUUUCGGAAGAGAAUAUAAGACUUCAACCCUAUCUCACAAGUUUCAUGAUGUUGGAAUCUUGUCUUUCUCUUGUUUUCCCUCCAAAAUCUAACUCGUUGUUUUGUGAGCUAGGGUUUGAAAGGGAAUAAAAGGAAAAAUAAAACUUCAGAAUUAUCUCAUAAAUUGUUUCAUGACUUUGAAACUUUCUUUUUCACUCACUUCCCUCCAAAGUCUAACUCGUAAAGAGACCAUACUCACUAAUGAUGUUAAAAUUACAUUAAUGGCCAUUGCGUGAGUAUUGAGCAACAAAGUCAGUUGCAAAUUAGAAUUGCUAUUUUCUAUCUCUCUCUAAAUGCAUUCCAACUAACUAAUUGUAUUGGUAUCUAAAAUUACAAGCUUAGUGUAUUCACAUUUAAUUUAUUGCACAUAGCUAGGCCACUUAAAGUACUUUUAAUCACAAGCUAUAGCUAUUAUAAAUAACACUAGAUUAUUGGAGUAAAGCAACUCAUGCAAGCUUUUUUCUUUUCAGCUUUUACAGUGUUGCCAUACCUUGGUGUGGCCUAGUUGUUUUCUCAAUGACAAAGGUUUCCAGUUUGCAAUAUGCAUAGUACAUUUCUGUGGUCCGCUCUUGCUUGUUGUGAGUUUCUUUUACGCUAAUUCUGCUGCAGCAACAUAAAUUUCAGGUUGGUGAUUAUUCUGACACUCACUGAUACCAUUUUUGUUCAUUUUUAUAACUUAUGUUUUGACCUUUUGUGCAAUUAUUAUUCAGGAAAUGAAGAAUUGUCGAAGACAAGCUUAGAAGUUCAUGAUGAAGAAGCAAAGUUCAAAUGAAUUUUUCAUAUAAAACCAUUAGUCAAGAAGCCAUUUUUCAAGAAACCCAUUUCAGUUGUUAAGCCUAUACCAAAGCCAUAUCCACUAGUGAAAAAAAAUAUUUCUAUUCAAAGUUCUAAUUCAACAGCGCGUAUUUUAGAUGUAUAAUAGUGUUUUCAUGCGCUUUCUAUUUGAUCACAGUAGAUAUUAUCAUGAUUAACAACGCUUCUCAAACGCUGUUGUAUUGAUAUAUACCACAACACAUCAUAUAAAAAGCGUUGUCAUUUAUUGCAUA
rnacentral:lncRNA from 1 species